GAUGAACGCUGGCGGCGUGCCUAAUACGUGCAAGUAGAACGCUGAAGGAAGGAGCUUGCUCUUUCCGGAUGAGUUGCGAACGGGUGAGUAACGCGUAGGUAACCUGCCUGGUAGCGGGGGAUAACUAUUGGAAACGAUAGCUAAUACCGCAUAACAGUAGAUGUUGCAUGACAACUAUUUGAAAGGGGCAAUUGCUCCACUACCAGAUGGACCUGCGUUGUAUUAGCUAGUUGGUGAGGUAACGGCUCACCAAGGCGACGAUACAUAGCCGACCUGAGAGGGUGAUCGGCCACACUGGGACUGAGACGCGGCCCAGACUCCUACGGGAGGCAGCAGUAGGGAAUCUUCGGCAAUGGACGGAAGUCUGACCGAGCAACGCCGCGUGAGUGAAGAAGGUUUUCGGAUCGUAAAGCUCUGUUGUAAGAGAAGAACGAGUGUGAGAGUGGAAAGUUCACACUGUGACGGUAUCUUACCAGAAAGGGACGGCUGACUACGUG
rnacentral:rRNA from 1 species